rnacentral:rRNA from 1 species
UACGGAGAAUGCGAACGUUGUUCGGAUUCACUGGGCGUAAAGGGCUCGUAGGCGGUCUGUUGCGUCGGGAGUGAAAACUCAGGGCUUAACCCUGAGCCUGCUUCCGAUACGGGCAGACUAGAGGUAUGCAGGGGGAGAACGGAAUUUCCGGUGUAGCGGUGAAAUGCGUAGAUAUCGGAAGGAACACCAGUGGCGAAAGCGGCUUCCUGGUCCAGCACCGACGUUCAGGCACGAAAGCGUGGGGAGCAAACAGG